rnacentral:lncRNA from 1 species
GCUCGGUAGGUGGUGUAUGGACUCAUGGAGAUUGAGAGGAAGGUGGUGGAGCAGGAGGUGUGACUUCUGCUGGUGUUGGAUCUAGAGAAGCUGAUGGAACGUGGGCUGAUGGUGACUGAGAGAAAGGUGGUGGAGCCAUAGUACCAUGACUCUGAAGAAGCUGCUGGUACUUGAUAGAGGGGGUGCAACAUCAGUCAGAGAUGGAGCUAAAGGUGUGAC